GAACAUUGAAACUGGCUACGGGAAAUGAUUGGAUAGAAAAUAUUACUCUAUUCAUUUAUCCCCAGCCUACAAAAUG
ensembl:miRNA